GACGAACGCUGGCGGUGUGCUUAACACAUGCAAGUCGAACGGUAAGGCCCUUUCGGGGGUACACGAGUGGCGAACGGGUGAGUAACACGUGAGUAACCUGCCCUCAUCUCUGGGAUAACAGUCGGAAACGGUUGCUAAUACUGGAUAUGAGCUUGCAAGGCAUCUUGUGGGUUGGAAAGAUUUUUUGGUUGGGGAUGGACUCGCGGCCUAUCAGCUUGUUGGUGAGGUAGUGGCUCACCAAGGCUUCGACGGGUAGCCGGCCUGAGAGGGCGACCGGCCACAUUGGGACUGAGAUACGGCCCAGACUCCUACGGGAGGCAGCAGUGGGGAAUAUUGCACAAUGGACGGAAGUCUGAUGCAGCAACGCCGCGUGCGGGAUGACGGCCUUCGGGUUGUAAACCGCUUUCAAUUGUGACGAAGCUUUUGUGACGUAGCAGUAGAAGAGC
rnacentral:rRNA from 2 species